AAGUAAAAGUCGUAACAAGGUUUCCGUAGGUGAACCUGCGGAAGGAUCAUUCAUAAUAAAAGUGUAAUUAUUAUGGGCACUUUUAAAACAAUCCAUAUCCACCUUGUGUGCAAUGUUUUUCAUUUUUUUUUACAACUCAUUUUAUAACUUAUUUUUAUCUGAAUAUUUAUGGAAUAUACUUAAUUCAAAAAUAUAACUUUCAACAACGGAUCUCUUGGCUCUCGCAUCGAUGAAGAACGCAGC
rnacentral:misc_RNA from 1 species